GCUGCCAUUGGACGACCAGGUCAUCCUGCUCAGGGCCGGGUUCUGACGGAGCUGGUGUCGAAGAUGCGGGACAUGAGGAUGGACAAGACGGAGCUGGGCUGCCUCAGGGCCAUCAUCCUCUUUAACCCAGGGUCCUUAUGGGGUUAUGGGGACAAGACGGAGCUGGGCUGCCUCAGGGCCAUCAUCCUCUUUAACCCAGGUUCGCCAAGCUGCUGCUCCGCCUUCCGGCCCUUCGCUCCAUCGGCCUCAAGUGCCUGGAACAUUUGUUCUUCUUCAAGCUCAUCGGGGACACCCCCAUCGACACCUUCCUCAUGGAGAUGCUCGAGGCCCCGCACCAGCUGGCCUGACCCCAUAGAAAACCCUAUAAACCCUAUAACCCCA